GACGAACGCUGGCGGCGUGCUUAACACAUGCAAGUCGAACGGAAAGGCCCUGCUUUUGUGGGGUGCUCGAGUGGCGAACGGGUGAGUAACACGUGAGUAACCUGCCCUUGACUUUGGGAUAACUUCAGGAAACUGGGGCUAAUACCGGAUCGGAGCUCCUGCUGCAUGGUGGGGGUUGGAAAGUUUCGGCGGUUGGGGAUGGACUCGCGGCUUACCAGCUUGUUGGUGGGGUAGUGGCUUACCAAGGCUUUGACGGGUAGCCGGCCUGAGAGGGUGACCGGCCACAUUGGGACUGAGAUACGGCCCAGACUCCUACGGGAGGCAGCAGUGGGGAAUAUUGCACAAUGGGCGGAAGCCUGAUGCAGCAACGCCGCGUGCGGGAUGACGGCCUUCGGGUUGUAAACCGCUUUCGCCUGUGACGAAGCGUGAGUGACGGUAAUGGGUAAAGAAGCACCGGCUAACUACGUG
rnacentral:rRNA from 1 species